GCUCCACGAUAGCCAGGCGAGAUGAAGUUGAUGUGAUGGAAGUCAGCGCUCCGUCACUGUACUCGCCCUCGCAGACGAAGUGCGACGGAGAUACCCUUGUCCCCAUCAGCGAGUAAGCUGGCUUGACCCUUUCCGGCAUACGCCACAGAGAGCUAUGGCACGCCGUAGUCUUUCUGCUACUGUGGCUGUGUGGGUUCCUGUCCACUCGAAAACGUGGUACAUCUGCCCAAGUAGUGGUCUGUUGGUUUGUUUUUUUAAGCGUCCAGGCGACGGCUUUGCAAUAGGACGAUCGAGAGACGAGAAGUACGGGUGGUAAUCACGAUGCAUAGUGGCGUCACGAAGCGCUCUCCCUUACACCUUUGCCACACCACUCACAUCCGACAACGAUGUGCUCAUCGGGUCUGCUUUACCUUUUCCGUUGGGGGCCCUUACCGUGGUAUCAGGGCCUCAUUAUACCCCCACUCUUUGUGGGGGACUGCAAGCAGUCUGCAGCCUGCCCUCGGGUACGGCUGGCGGGCUCUUGACGUCAGCGUACACGUCGGUAUCGGCGCUGUGCGAAAGAGACACACGGCCACGAUGACGCUUGGGCGAGCUCGCCACAAGCCGUGCCCGCGAUGCAACGAAUGCACGCAUCCACCAGCAGCGUGCUUUUUUUCUGUCGUUGCUGCAUUGCAGCGGUGUUGAGCGUACUCCUGGGCCUAGCGUAUGCUGUAUGCAGUGGCAUUGCGGUGGGCUGAACGACACCCAACAGCGCUGGCAGGCGCAGUUGCUUCACGGACACCUUUUUGUGGGGUUUUCAGUGCACCAUUUCAACAUAAACACGUCAACAGGUAUGUGCGCAUCCACAUCCACACCUCGCCUACCUCUGCUGCACCGCGGCAG
rnacentral:misc_RNA from 1 species